rnacentral:rRNA from 1 species
UGGGGAAUAUUGCACAAUGGGCGCAAGCCUGAUGCAGCCAUGCCGCGUGUAUGAAGAAGGCCUUCGGGUUGUAAAGUACUUUCAGCGGGGAGGAAGGUGUUGAGGCUAAUAACCUCAGCAAUUGACGUUACCCGCAGAAGAAGCACCGGCUAACUCCGUGCCAGCAGCCGCGGUAAUACGGAGGGUGCAAGCGUUAAUCGGAAUUACUGGGCGUAAAGCGCACGCAGGCUGUCUGUCAAGUCGGAUGUGAAAUCCCCGGGCUCAACCUGGGAACUGCAUUCGAAACUGGCAGGCUAGAGUCUUGUAGAGGGGGGUAGAAUUCCAGGUGUAGCGGUGAAAUGCGUAGAGAUCUGGAGGAAUACCGGUGGCGAAGGCGGCCCCCUGGACAAAGACUGACGCUCAGGUGCGAAAGCGUGGGGAGCAAACA